CUCAACGGUGUGGCUGUUUCUUCUGAUUCCGUCUUGAUUGGGGCAGUUUUCACUGGCAGGAAGCUCUCGGGAGACCAGGCUCACUGAAUUCCCUGUCACAGAGGGAGGGGAAAGGUUCACAGAAAUCCAAGAAGACCCUUCUGUCCCCGCCCCCCUUGUUUUACAUGUGCCACCUCUACAGAGAAGCCUUCUCUGACCAUCCCCUUGACGUUAACUGAGGUGGGAAGAGAAAGUGAGUCCCACCAUUCAGCUCUCUUGGCUUCCUGACUGCAGAUGUGAGCAGCCACCUCAAGCUCUUGAGGUCAAGGCUUCCUCCUUUGAUGAACACCGAGUUAUAAGCUAAAACAAACACUUCUCCUUUUUCGUUUCUUUUGUGAGGUGGUUGAUGCUAACAAUUUGAAAACUAACCAAUACAGUAGUCAUUCGGUAAGCAAGUCUUGGAAAGGGCGUUGGAUAGAUGGAUGGAUGAUCACGUUUGCCAUAAAGUCUAAGUUGGAUGGAAUCUAACACACACAAUACAUGUUCAGGAGUAAGCAAUGUAUGAGCUAAUUUCUUAUUCCUCUAUCUGGUUCUUGGCAACCGUUAAACUGUCCUCUGUGCAGGCCAACACCACCAUUUCAAUCCUAGAAGGCACAGUUGAACAUAUCGACACUUUCUCGGGUGUCCAGGAUGACUCUAUAAGCCUUCGGAGUAAUCUAAAAGAAGAGAAUCUUCUAGCUUGGUUGAAAAGGAUGAAAAUGGCCAUUGAAUCGGUGUCUAUGUUGAAUCUUAAGACUUCCUUUGGAAGUGAACACAGUAUCUACCCUC
rnacentral:lncRNA from 1 species